rnacentral:rRNA from 1 species
AUGGUGAGAGUCAGUGUGCUGAACGAUGCUCUCAAGAGCAUGUACAACGCUGAGAAGCGUGGGAAGAGGCAGGUCAUGAUCAGGCCUUCUUCCAAGGUCAUUAUCAAGUUCCUUAUCGUCAUGCAGAAGCACGGAUACAUUGGCGAGUUUGAGUACGUUGAUGAUCACAGGUCUGGCAAGAUCGUGGUUGAAUUGAAUGGCAGGCUGAACAAGUGUGGUGUCAUCAGUCCUCGCUUUGAUGUUGGUGUCAAGGAGAUUGAGGGAUGGACUGCAAGGCUCCUUCCUUCUCGUCAGUUUGGUUACAUUGUGCUGACAACUUCUGCUGGGAUCAUGGACCAUGAGGAGGCAAGGCGUAAGAAUGUUGGUGGCAAAGUGCUAGGCUUUUUCUACUGA